UUUUUUUUUUUUUUAGUUUUCCCGCAGACGAACGCUGGCGGCGUGCCUAAUACAUGCAAGUCGAACGAACUCUGGUAUUGAUUGGUGCUUGCAUCAUGAUUUACAUUUGAGUGAGUGGCGAACUGGUGAGUAACACGUGGGAAACCUGCCCAGAAGCGGGGGAUAACACCUGGAAACAGAUGCUAAUACCGCAUAACAACUUGGACCGCAUGGUCCGAGUUUGAAAGAUGGCUUCGGCUAUCACUUUUGGAUGGUCCCGCGGCGUAUUAGCUAGAUGGUGAGGUAACGGCUCACCAUGGCAAUGAUACGUAGCCGACCUGAGAGGGUAAUCGGCCACAUUGGGACUGAGACACGGCCCAAACUCCUACGGGAGGCAGCAGUAGGGAAUCUUCCACAAUGGACGAAAGUCUGAUGGAGCAACGCCGCGUGAGUGAAGAAGGGUUUCGGCUCGUAAAACUCUGUUGUUAAAGAAGAACAUAUCUGAGAGUAACUGUUCAGGUAUUGACGGUAUUUAACCAGAAAGCCACGGCUAACUACGUGCCAGCAGCCGCGGUAAUACGUAGGUGGCAAGCGUUGUCCGGAUUUAUUGGGCGUAAAGCGAGCGCAGGCGGUUUUUUAAGUCUGAUGUGAAAGCCUUCGGCUCAACCGAAGAAGUGCAUCGGAAACUGGGAAACUUGAGUGCAGAAGAGGACAGUGGAACUCCAUGUGUAGCGGUGAAAUGCGUAGAUAUAUGGAAGAACACCAGUGGCGAAGGCGGCUGUCUGGUCUGUAACUGACGCUGAGGCUCGAAAGUAUGGGUAGCAAACAGGAUUAGAUACCCUGGUAGUCCAUACCGUAAACGAUGAAUGCUAAGUGUUGGAGGGUUUCCGCCCUUCAGUGCUGCAGCUAACGCAUUAAGCAUUCC
rnacentral:rRNA from 1 species